rnacentral:rRNA from 1 species
AUGGCUCAGGAUGAACGCUAGCGACAGGCUUAACACAUGCAAGUCGAGGGCAGCAUAAAAGUAGCAAUACUUGGUGGCGACCGGCGCACGGGUGAGUAACGCGUAUGCAACCUACCUAUCAGAGGGGAAUAACCCGGCGAAAGUCGGACUAAUACCGCAUAAAACAGGGGCACCGCAUGGUGAUAUUUGUUAAAGAAAUUCGCUGAUAGAUGGGCAUGCGUUCCAUUAGGUAGUUGGUGAGGUAACGGCUCACCAAGCCGACGAUGGAUAGGGGAACUGAGAGGUUGGUCCCCCACACUGGUACUGAGACACGGACCAGACUCCUACGGGAGGCAGCAGUGAGGAAUAUUGGUCAAUGGGCGGGAGCCUGAACCAGCCAAGUCGCCGUGAAGGAAGAAGGAUCUAUGGUUCGUAAACUUCUUUUGCAGGGGAAUAAAGUGCAGGACGUGUCCUGUUUUGUAUGUACCCUGAGAAUAAGGAUCGGCUAACUCCGUGCCAGCCGCCGC